AUGAAUUUCAUAAGUUGGAACUGCCGGGGAGGGGGGAAUACCCGGAUAGUUCGUGAGUUAGCGACUUUGGCUCAGUCGCAUUCCCCGACCUUUAUGUUCUUAUGUGAGACAUGGCAGAAGGAGAGGAAGAUGAGAAGAUUACAUGGCAGGUUAGGUUUGAAGGGGUUUGAAGGUGUGGAUAGUAAUGGAAUGAGUUGAGGUUUGGCGUUCUUUUGGCAUGAAUCU
rnacentral:rRNA from 1 species